CGCGGUAAUACCAGCUCUCCGAGUGGUAGGGAUGAUUAUUGGGCUUAAAGCGUCCGUAGCCGGCCUAGCAAGUCUUCCGUUAAAUCCACCGAUUCAAUCGUUGGGCUGCGGGAGAUACUGUUGGGCUAGGGGGCGGGAGAGGCCGACGGUAUUCUCGGGGUAGGGGUAAAAUCCUAUAAUCCCGGGAGGACCACCAGUGGCGAAGGCGGUCGGCUAGAACGCGCUCGACGGUGAGGGACGAAAGCUGGGGGAGCGAACCGGAUUAGAUACCCGGGUAGUCCCAGCUGUAAACGAUGCGGGCUAGGUGUUGGGGCGGCUACGGGCCGCUUCAGUGCCGCAGGGAAGCCGUUAAGCCCGCCGCCUGGGGAGUACGGCCGCAAGGCUGAAACUUAAAGGAAUUGGCGGGGGAGCACCACAAGGCGUAAAGCUUGCGA
rnacentral:rRNA from 1 species